AUUAACUUGGCAGAUAAGUGCAUCGGAUUUAGAAUCCUAAAAUGUAAAGUUAUAUUUACAGUUAGUA
rnacentral:tRNA from 1 species